GUGUGUUGUGUAUCGAUUUCGCAAACUGCCUGUGUACGUCAGUGUCAAGCUGUGUUAGACGUGAGGCGCCGAUCUUAGUCAGCUUAGAACACGGUGAAGGCAGCGCACAACCUCUUCUGUUGUCGUCGAAGCCGGUCUCGCACUCGCACACACCGCGCCAGUCGUUCACCAGCCACUCGCAGCCUGACCUCCCAUUCGAUGGCCUGCUUUUGGAGAUCUUCCCCAUCUGUAUUUUAUUAAAACAAAGUCGGCUUAAACCUUUUAUCAAUGAACGAUUUAUGCUGCAGAAUGUAUAAUAAAGUUGUGAAGCGCAAA